CCUACGGGGGGCAGCAGGGAGGAAUAUUGGUCAAUGGGCGGAAGCCUGAACCAGCCAAGUCGCGUGAGGGAAUAAGGCCCUACGGGUCGUAAACCUCUUUUGCCGGGGAGCAAGGGCCGGGACGAGUCCCGGUCCGGAGAGUACCCGGAGAAAAAGCAUCGGCAAACUCCGUGCCAGCAGCCGCGGUAAUACGGAGGAUGCGAGCGUUAUCCGGAUUUAUUGGGUUUAAAGGGUGCGUAGGCGGGCUUUUAAGUCAGCGGUAAAAAUUCGGGGGUCAACCCCGUCCGGCCGUUGAAACUGGGGGCCUUGAGUGGGCGAGAAGAAGGCGGAAUGCGUGGUGUAGCGGUGAAAUGCAUAGAUAUCACGCAGAACCCCGAUUGCGAAGGCAGCCUUCCGGCGCCCUACUGACGCUGAGGCACGAAAGUGCGGGGAUCGAACAGGAUUAGAUACCCGAGUAGUC
rnacentral:rRNA from 1 species